rnacentral:misc_RNA from 1 species
GUACUCUCACACUUCCGAUCUUCGGAUUGGGAGAGGUGGACUUGGGUGUUGCUGCUUUACUGUGGCUCGCCUCAAAUGGAGUAGUGCAACUCUUGGUUGGACAUAGUACGGUGUGAUAAGUGUCUUCGCCGGCGCCUCACUAGAGGGUGGCUGAUCAGGAGCUCUGUGCUUCAAACCGUCUUCGGACAACAUCUGACA